rnacentral:sRNA from 1 species
UUAAUGAAAAAAAUUUUUGUCAUGUUUACAUUAUUUAAACCCUAGGGUGAAACUCCAAGUAAAAAGCCAAGAAAAAAAUCUGAAAUUCAGAGUGUAGAUGUGGAAUCAUUAGCCAGAGUCAAUCAGUUGAGUAAAGUGAACACAGUGACACUGACAGCUUGGCUCAAAGAGAGAGGCAUCACUUGUAAAUCUAAAGAUAAAAAGAGUGACUUGGUGAAGAAAGCUAAUAUGUAUCUCAACAUUACCACCUCAGAGGAGUAAACACACAAAAGUUUGCUGGCCUUAUGUAGGAGUUUUCAGCAUGUAGAAUAGUCAUUGCUAUGUUCUCUGUAUCAGCUGAUGUAUUAUCAUGUUUUCUUUUGUUUAUUUAAAAACAAACAAAUUUAAAGUCAUGAUAUUUCAUCUUUUUAUUGAUUGCCUAGCGACCAGAGACUAAUCAGUAUAAACUUAUCAAUCUGCAGAUGGGUACAUUCUAAAAUGAAACAUAUGAAUCAUUCAACAAUACUAUAUGAUAUUGAUCUUAAUGAAUGAUGAAUAAUACUGAAAGACUUAGCUAUUUCUAUGUAGUUGACAUUUUUUUAUAAACAAAUUGAGACAAAGCAGAUAUCAUCAACCCACAAAACAGUUUUAAUCCUAAAAAUAAUUAAUGAAAAGAGUCUUCAAAAUACAUGGAUUAACUGGGAUUUUGAUAAGCUUUUUUAAAAGAAAUCUGCUUAUAACAAACUAGUAUAGAUCUAUUUAAUCAAAAAAUUCUAACCCACCCAAGAAAAAGCUUACAAGUAAUAAACAAACAAAUCUUGUAAAAUUUUGUUCUGGUUAAAACAAAUUUUCUAUUGUACAACUGGUUACUGUGACAAGAAUGUUAGUUUCAAUUUAUAGAUAUUCCUUCCAAAGGAUAAUCAUUACAUAAGCAAAAAAAUGUCACCCUGGUGUUUCAAAACACAAUAUAUAUAUAUAUAGGAAUAUAUAUUCCUUUCACAAAUAAUGGCAGGCCUACCACACUAUAAGUAGAUCAAGAUGUUUGAAAAUCUUCUCUUCUUUCAGUGAUUGAUUAAACCUAAAUAAAACCAGAGAUGGAGUGAGGCCAGUGAAUUUUGAAUACACUUACACUAUUAUACAUUACUCAAUAUGUUAUGAUAUGGAAAAAUUCAUUAGUAACCUCUAAACCUGUUAUACCUGAUAAUGCAAUUAGAAAAGACAUUUGAUUUCAACUGUUUCACCCACAUUGAAAGUUGAACUGAUGUUAAAAGAAAUUUACAAAAAAAAAA